rnacentral:rRNA from 1 species
UACGUAGGGUGCAAGCGUUAAUCGGAAUCACUGGGCGUAAAGGGUGCGUAGGCGGGUUUUUAAGUCAGGGGUGAAAUCCUGGAGCUCAACUCCAGAACUGCCUUUGAUACUGAAGAUCUUGAGUCCGGGAGAGGUGAGUGGAACUGCGAGUGUAGAGGUGAAAUUCGUAGAUAUUCGCAAGAACACCAGUGGCGAAGGCGGCUCACUGGCCCGGUACUGACGCUGAGGCACGAAAGCGUGGGGAGCAAACAGG